CCUACGGGUGGCAGCAGUGGGGAAUAUUGGACAAUGGGCGAAAGCCUGAUCCAGCCAUGCCGCGUGUGUGAAGAAGGCCUUCGGGUUGUAAAGCACUUUCAGUGGGGAAGAAAGCCUUGGGGCUAAUACCCCCGAGGAAGGACAGCACCCAAAGAAGAAGCACCGGCUAACUCCGUGCCAGCAGCCGCGGUAAUACGGAGGGGGCGAGCGUUAUUCGGAAUUACUGGGCGUAAAGCGCGCGUAGGCGGUCUGAUAAGCCGGUUGUGAAAGCCCCGGGCUCAACCUGGGAACGGCAUCCGGAACUGUCAGGCUAGAGUGCAGGAGAGGAAGGUAGAAUUCCCGGUGUAGCGGUGAAAUGCGUAGAGAUCGGGAGGAAUACCAGUGGCGAAGGCGGCCUUCUGGACUGACACUGACGCUGAGGUGCGAAAGCGUGGGUAGCAAACAGGAUUAGAUACCCUGGUAGUC
rnacentral:rRNA from 1 species